GGGACAGGCUGCCGACGGCGGCGUCAGCACCGCCAGGCGGAGGCAGAUUCUUUACCAUCUGAGUCACCAAAGUGGAGAUGAAACCUUGAAGGAACCACCAAGGGGGCUCACAGGCUGGCCUGCUGACCUGCAGCUGCUCUGAGACUGCUUGGAAUUAGCCAGUGCGUGCAGGUGCAUUCAGGGCCCACCCGAUUUCUCACCGGGGUGCUGACCGUGAUCCAGGGAAAUGCCCAGGAGACCCCGCCAGCAGAGCCCAAGGGCAUUGCUGUGACCGGCAGGAACUGGCCCCACACCCCUGUGGCCUCCUCGCCCAACCGGCUCCCCGGCUCAUCUUGGCGGCUCCAGACUCUGAGGGGCCUCGCAGACAGAGCUGGCCAUUCUUGGACACCCUCGUGCCAACUCCGAGGGCACGUCAGCUCCUCCGCUCUCUGGCUCGGGUGCGGUGCCAGCUGGGCCCAGCUUGCGGGGGGCACUGGCUCUUCCCCAGGCCCACACCACUGGCCUGCCGUCCACCCUGCCAAGGAGGCCACGGCUUCGAGCAGAGCAGAGGGCGGGGGCCGGGAUGGAAGGCCACCCCUGCCUUGACCUCUAGUGCGAAGGCCGCCCUGAACUCCGUCUUGUGAAAGGGAGUUCCUUUGACCCAUGUCUUCUGUGGACCGUUCAGGUGGCCUGCCAGUGCAGGAGAUGUAAGAGCCCUGGGUUCCAUCCCUGGGUCGGAAGAUCCCCUGGAGGAGGGCAUGGCAACCCCCUACAGUGUUUUUGCCUGGAGCAUCCCAGGGAUGGAGGAGCUACAGUCUGUGGGGUUGCAGAGUUAGACACGCCUGAAGCGGCUCGGCACGCAGGCAGCACGCGCCUCCUCUGGCCACGCGAAUCCCCAGGGCACU
rnacentral:lncRNA from 1 species